rnacentral:rRNA from 1 species
UAUUAUGGAGAGUUUGAUCCUGGCUCAGGACGAACGCUGGCGGCAUGCCUAAUACAUGCAAGUCGAGCGAACUGUUGGAAGCUUGCUUCCUUCAGUUAGCGGCGGACGGGU